AGCUUGCUGGGCGGAUCAGUGGCGAACGGGUGAGUAACACGUGAGUAACCUGCCCCAGACUCCGGGAUAAGCCUUGGAAACGAGGUCUAAUACUGGAUACGAGAUGCCCCUGCAUGGGGAGUGUCUGGAAAGAUUUAUCGGUCUGGGAUGGACUCGCGGCCUAUCAGCUUGUUGGUGGGGUAAUGGCCUACCAAGGCGACGACGGGUAGCCGGCCUGAGAGGGCGACCGGCCACACUGGGACUGAGACACGGCCCAGACUCCUACGGGAGGCAGCAGUGGGGAAUAUUGCACAAUGGGCGAAAGCCUGAUGCAGCGACGCCGCGUGAGGGAUGAAGGCCUUCGGGUUGUAAACCUCUUUCAGCAGGGAAGAAGCGCAAGUGACGGUACCUGCAGAAGAAGCGCCGGCUAACUACGUGCCAGCAGCCGCGGUAAUACGUAGGGCGCAAGCGUUGUCCGGAAUUAUUGGGCGUAAAGAGCUCGUAGGCGGUUUGUCGCGUCUGGUGUGAAAACUCAAGGCUCAACCUUGAGCUUGCAUCGGGUACGGGCAGACUAGAGUGCGGUAGGGGUGACUGGAAUUCCUGGUGUAGCGGUGGAAUGCGCAGAUAUCAGGAGGAACACCGAUGGCGAAGGCAGGUCACUGGGCCGCAACUGACGCUGAGGAGCGAAAGCAUGGGGAGCGAACAGGAUUAGAUACCCUGGUAGUCCAUGCCGUAAACGUUGGGCACUAGGUGUGGGGCUCAUUCCACGAGUUCCGUGCCGCAGCAAACGCAUUAAGUGCCCCGCCUGGGGAGUACGGCCGCAAGGCUAAAACUCAAAGGAAUUGACGGGGGCCCGCACAAGCGGCGGAGCAUGCGGAUUAAUUCGAUGCAACGCGAAGAACCUUACCAAGGCUUGACAUACACCGGAAACUUCCAGAGAUGGUUGCCCCGCAAGGUCGGUGUACAGGUGGUGCAUGGUUGUCGUCAGCUCGUGUCGUGAGAUGUUGGGUUAAGUCCCGCAACGAGCGCAACCCUCGUCUUAUGUUGCCAGCACGUCAUGGUGGGGACUCAUAAGAGACUGCCGGGGUCAACUCGGAGGAAGGUGGGGAUGACGUCAAAUCAUCAUGCCCCUUAUGUCUUGGGCUUCACGCAUGCUACAAUGGCCGGUACAAAGGGCUGCGAUACCGCGAGGUGGAGCGAAUCCCAAAAAGCCGGUCUCAGUUCGGAUUGGGGUCUGCAACUCGACCCCAUGAAGUCGGAGUCGCUAGUAAUCGCAGAUCAGCAACGCUGCGGUGAAUACGUUCCCGGGCCUUGUACACACCGCCCGUCAAGUCACGAAAGUCGGUAACACCCGAAGC
rnacentral:rRNA from 1 species